rnacentral:rRNA from 1 species
GGCAGCAGUGGGGAAUUUUCCGCAAUGGGCGAAAGCCUGACGGAGCAAUACCGCGUGAGGGAAGACGGCCUAUGGGUUGUAAACCUCUUUUCUCAGGGAGGAACUCAAUGACGUUACCUGAGGAAUAAGCAUCGGCUAACUCCGUGCCAGCAGCCGCGGUAAGACGGAGGAUGCAAGUGUUAUCCGGAAUCACUGGGCGUAAAGCGUCUGUAGGUGGCUUAACAAGUCAACUGUUAAAUCUUGAAGCUCAACUUCGAAAUCGCAGUCGAAACUGUUAGGCUAGAGUAUAGUAGGGGUAAAGAGAAUUUCCAGUGGAGCGGUGAAAUGCGUAGAGAUUGGAAUGAACACCGAUGGCGAAGGCACUUUACUGGGCUAUUACUGACACUCAGAGACGAAAGCUAGGGUAGCAAAUGGGAUUAGAUACCCCAGUAGUCCUAGCCGUAAACAAUGGAUACUAGAUGUUGGGCAGAUCGACCUGUUCAGUAUUAAAGCUAACGCGUUAAGUAUCCCGCCUGGGAAGUAUGCGCGCAAGCGUGAAACUCAAAGGAAUUGACGG